rnacentral:rRNA from 1 species
GACGAACGCUGGCGGCGUGCUUAACACAUGCAAGUCGAACGGAAAGGCCCUGCUUUUGUGGGGUGCUCGAGUGGCGAACGGGUGAGUAACACGGGAGUAACCUGCCCUUGACUUUGGGAUAACUUCAGGAAACGGGGGCUAAUACCGGAUAGGAGCUCCUGCUGCAUGGUGGGGGUUGGAAAGUUUCGGCGGUUGGGGAUGGACUCGCGGCUUAUCAGCUUGUUGGUGGGGUAGUGGCUUACCAAGGCUUUGACGGGUAGCCGGCCUGAGAGGGUGACCGGCCCCAUGGGGCCUGAGAUAGGCCCCAGACUCCUACGGGAGGCAGCAGUGGGAAAUAUUGCCCAAUGGGCGGAAGCCUGAUGCGGCAACGCCGCGGGCGGGAUGACGGCCUUCGGGUUGAAAACCGCUUUCGCCUGUGACGAAGCGUGAGUGACGGUAAUGAGUAAAGAAGCACCGGCUAACUACGUG